CUGCUGACACACAGUAUUUACCCAACCAGAAGUUUGCAAGCCAGACAAAUACAAAGAUACUCUUACCCUGCUCUGUUCAGCUGAGCGUGAGCCUAUCCUGGGUUUGGAAGGCUGGUAACACUGCCAACUGAAGCUGUGAGGAAGAGAAUGAAAGUGUAGUCACACCGUUUUGUAUGUGUUUCUUCACCUUGCUUCCCACAUCCACCAUCUGCAGGAACAAAGACUGAUAGUAUAUACUUUUCUUCACCCCAAAUACAGUCACUGGCUGCUGAUUUGACUUUAGAAUGAGGCUAUAUAAGCCUGAAAUCUGAAACAAAGAUUUUGGACACAAAGUACCUGGGAAAGAAAGAGAGAAAAAAACCCACCCAUGAUUUGUGUGUGAGUUCCGCUCUUCUCAGAUACAGAAAGCAAUUUCCUAUGUCAUAUUUCACCCCUUCUAUCAACAAACACCUUAUUAUCCACUGUAACUGUGUCACUGGCUGCACAUCUGUGUAUCCUAUUUGCUUGCAACGUACAAAACAGAUUUAUUUGCUCUCUCACAUCUUAUCAAACCUGUAACCACCUCUCUGUGGGAUUUUCAUUGGAUUUACCCAUUCCUCUA